AUACAGUCGGUGCCUUUGGUAAUUGGCCAAUUCAUGGAAAUGGUCGAUCAGAAUAAUGGGAUUGUUGGAUCCACCACUGGUUCUAAUUAUUAUGUUAGGAUUCUCAGCACUAUUAAUCGCGAGCUUCUUAAACCCUCCGCCUCCGUCGCUUUGCACCGUCACUCUAACGCCUUAGUCGACGUCUUGCCUCCUGAGGCCGAUUCUAGUAUAUCUCUGCUCAGCCAGUCGGAGAAGCCUGACGUGACCUAUAAUGAUAUUGGCGGAUGUGAUAUUCAAAAGCAAGAAAUUCGUGAAGCAGUAGAGUUACCUCUUACUCAUCAUGAACUGUACAAACAAAUUGGUAUUGAUCCUCCUCGUGGUGUUUUGCUUUACGGACCCCCUGGAACUGGUAAAACUAUGCUUGCCAAGGCCGUUGCUAAUCAUACAACUGCAGCCUUCAUAAGAGUCGUUGGGUCUGAAUUUGUUCAGAAGUAUUUG
rnacentral:misc_RNA from 1 species